rnacentral:rRNA from 1 species
UACGUAGGGACCGAGCGUUGUCCGGAUUCAUUGGGCGUAAAGAGCUCGUAGGCGGCUGUUCAAGUCGAACGUGAAAACUCGGAGCUCAACUCCGAGCCUGCGGUCGAUACGGGCAGGCUCGAGUUCGGUAGGGGAGACUGGAAUUCCUGGUGUAGCGGUGAAAUGCGCAGAUAUCAGGAGGAACACCGAUGGCGAAGGCAGGUCUCUGGGCCGAUACUGACGCUGAGGAGCGAAAGCAUGGGGAGCGAACAGG